GAAUUUUUCGAUUCAAAGCCGAAGGAUUGGUACUUUGACCAAAUCCGAAAGCUUGCAGAUCAUUGGCAGAAGAUCAUGGAAAAUGAUGGUCUUUAUUUUGAAGAAUAGUUGUUGUUGCUUUUGAAUAAAUUCUUGCAUAAAAAGUCAUUAUUCUAACACGGCGUACGAACUUUUUCCUCAGCCUAGGAUUAAUAAUAGUAAUAAUAAUAAUGAUAAUAAUAAUAAUGACAU